AGACAUAGUCUGUACGAGCCAAAGAAAUUCUCAUCCCGGAUACUUAUCGCCUUAGCCUACAUCACUGUAUGCGUUAACUUUAUAUAUUGAACAUUGAACUUUAUUUUACUUUGAAACAUUUUGCGUUAUUUUUACUGUGCAAACUUUAUUACAAUAAAAUUUAUAAUAUAAACAGGCACUACGUACGUACUAUUAAAGAAAAUUAUAUUUAAAAGAUGAGCAGCAAUUGUUGUAUUCCGGGUUGCAGUUAUACAACUCACAAUAAAAACAAAUUUUCUUUAUUUACUAUAAGAAGACCAGAAUUUGGAAGAACGGAGUGUGAAAGAUUACAUCGCGAACAACUUACAAACCGUUAGUGUUCAUUGUUUAAGAAGUGUAUCUAAAAUAAGUAAGCACUGUCUUUACAUUCAGGGCAGCAAUAGGUGAACAGCACUUCAGGAAUUCUGAAGUAAUAAAAUUUAGAAAAUCAAAAAGAUUGGUAGUUGGGGCUCUACCUACAUUAAGUCUGCCUCAGAAGUCCGAAAUUAGCAGUGGUUAGUUUAUUUAAAAAUGGCUUAUCCAAUUUAACAAUUAAACAAAAACAUUUCUUCUAAAAAAAAUUCGAAAGGCACCAACAUUACGUAAAGAAUUGCCAGUUACAGAUAAGGCCGGUUUACACCAAGCGCGUGCGAAGCAAGCGACGCGAAAUUUCUUUGUUUGUUUAAACAACAUGAGGGGAAGUCCCAUUUUCCAGUUCGCGUGCUUCGCGUCUGAGUCGCUCCAGGAGCAACCGACGCGAAGUUUUGCGCCAGAAUUUCGGAUGGAUUGGAAUAGAUACUGUAUCUUACGAAAUUUAAUAUAGCUAGAGGCUAGUUAAUAUUUGAUAUAUAAGUUACAAAGUUGGCUUAAGUUGUUUUGUUAUGUCAGCAGUCUAUCUAUAAAUAAGAUCAGAAAAUUGACUAUUGUUCUAUGGGCCAGCUCUCAGAAUUUAAUUACUAUGACAGCAGCCAAUAUUUACUUUUCCUUACUAGUGACAGAGCAUUAAAAAGACAGUAAGCAAGUUUAUAUACUAAAAUUUGAUAGUUAUCUAAAAAGAAUAGUUAAAAAAUGAAUCCAGUAAACUUUGAGCUGAUAGAUGAGGUAUUAAUAGAAGAAGUCAGGAAACCUGUGAAUUUGUACAAUGCCAAGUUAAAAAGCUACAGGGACAGGAAUGAAGCAGAAAAAUCAUGGUUUAUUAUUUCACAAACUACAAAUAUUUCAGUCGCAGAAUGCAAACAAUCGUGGAAACGAUUACGCAACAAAUAUGUCCGAUAGAAAAAAAAGCAUCAGUCAAGUUUCAAGUCUGGGGCAGCUGCCACACAUACAGCUAAAUGGACCUUAUCUGAGACAAUGUCUUUUCUUGACGACCAUCUAAAACCAAGAAGGUACUAUUGUAAAUUCAUUCACUUCAAAAGUUAACAAAUAUUUUUUGCAGUACUGCAUCAAACAUUGUUGUCGUAGAUGUUGAGAAUGAUGAGCCAUCCUGCUCAACAUCUGCUGAACUUAAUGAAAGUCUGUCCUCAACUUCAGAACACUCCGAAUCUGUGUCCAAAAAGAAAAGGAAGUUCGAGGACCAACUGGAAGACCUCAUUGAAGUUGCAAGGGCACCAAUAGGUGAGUG